AUUGAACGCUGGCGGCAGGCCUAACACAUGCAAGUCGAACGAAGCCUUCGGGCUUAGUGGCGGACGGGUGAGUAACACGUGGGAACGUACCUUUUGGUUCGGAAUAACGCAGAGAAAUUUGCGCUAAUACCGGAUGAGCCCUUCGGGGGAAAGAUUUAUCGCCGAAAGAUCGGCCCGCGUUGGAUUAGGUAGUUGGUGUGGUAAAGGCGCACCAAGCCUACGAUCCAUAGCUGGUCUGAGAGGAUGAUCAGCCACACUGGGACUGAGACACGGCCCAGACUCCUACGGGAGGCAGCAGUGGGGAAUCUUGCGCAAUGGGCGAAAGCCUGACGCAGCCAUGCCGCGUGAAUGAUGAAGGUCUUAGGAUUGUAAAAUUCUUUUACCAGGGACGAUAAUGACGGUACCUGGAGAAAAAGCCCCGGCUAACUUCGUGCCAGCCGCCGCGGUAACAC
rnacentral:rRNA from 1 species